rnacentral:rRNA from 1 species
UGCGUAGGCGGUCCGGGAAGUUGGGUGUGAAAGCCCUCGGCUCAACCGAGGAACUGCGCCCAAAACUGCCGGGCUCGAGGGAGACAUAGGUGAGCGGAACUUAGGGUGGAGCGGUGAAAUGCGUUGAGAUCCUAAGGAACACCAGUAGCGAAAGCGGCUCACUGGGUCUCUUCUGACGCUGAGUGCACGAAAGCUAGGGGAGCGAAGAGGAUUAGAUACCCUCGUAGUCCUAGCCGUAAACGAUGAGCACUGAUUUGGAGGGUCCUCCAUAGCCUUCCAGAUGUAGCGAAAGUGUUAAGUGCUCCGCCUGGGGAGUAUGGUCGCAAGGCUGAA